GCCCAAGAGAUCGGGAUAACACCUGGAAACAGAUGCUAAUACCGGAUAACAACAGAUGAUGCCUAUCAACUGUUUAAAAGAUGGUUCUGCUGUCACUCUUGGAUGGACCUGCGGUGCAUUAGCUAGUUGGUAGGGUAACGGCCUACCAAGGCGAUGAUGCAUAGCCGAGUUGAGAGACUGAUCGGCCACAUUGGGACUGAGACACGGCCCAAACUCCUACGGGAGGCAGCAGCC
rnacentral:rRNA from 1 species